rnacentral:misc_RNA from 1 species
AAAGCCCUCUAAAUCUGAUGGUAACGAUUCUGGAUUUGGGCCACCGGGGACCCGAAACUCUGGGUCGGGACCUGCAUCAAAUGUGGUGGUGAACCAUGCGUCUCGGACCACCCCUGGCCCUGUAACUCCCAACAAUGGCACGACGGUCGUGGCUCCGCCGCCAAUGAAUUCGGUGGAGCCCCUCCCUCUUUUCCGGGAUGUGCCCGUAUCUGAGCGACAAAACCUGUUUCUCCGGAAGCUUCAGGU